UUUUGCUUUUACUCAAAGGGUUUUAUCCUUUUGCUUUCCCUUCAAAUCGUUUCGGGGAGUUUUCAUAAGUUUUAAGUUUUUUUGUUGGGUUUAUGUUAACUUUUGCAGAGAACAAGAAAGUGGGUUGGCUUUAGAAAUGGUUCUUUGGUUUUCUCAUCCUAUAUAGCUUGUUUUCCUUUGGUAUUUCUGUGGCUUUCGGUAAUUUCAACUACUAGGAUGAGAUUCUCGUAUUUUGUAAAAAUUUUGGAUUUCUCGUUUAUUUCCUGAAUCCUAAUGUGAAGACAUUGUGAUUGGGAAGGAUUGAGUUUUCGAUCCGAUUGCCUGGUUCAGUGAUUAGUAUUUUCUUGUGAUUGACAACCGAAAAAUUUUAUGGUUUAAUGGAGCUUUUGUCCGGAUUUCUUUCACUUUUUCCAAAUCUUUUGAAUUUUUUUGUUUGUCCCCUGAAUCCUAACGUUAAGAUAUUGUGAUUCUUGGCAUGAGUAUAGAUUGGAUUAUUCCACGAAUAUUUGGAAGGAUUAAAUUGAAUGUUUGGAGCCAUUACCUGGUCCAAAUCUGUUCUUCUGGUGUUUUCAUGAUGUUGAUGCCUCAUUGAUCUUGAAUCUUUUUCAUGAUUCUUGGUUUAUUUUGUGGUAUAUUCUCCCUUGCUUUGACCAAUAUUGCUUUUAGUGGUCUUUGUUCACGCUUUUGGUAAUUUGAAGUGAUUUCAAUCACUGGAUAUAGGUUCAUGCAAUUUUUCCUCUAUAUAGAUUAUAGCAAUUUUUUAAAAAGUUCGAUUCUUCGUUUUCCUUUGAAUCCUAUUGAUAUUAUGAUUAAAGAUUGGAUUUUGGAAGGAUUAAAAGCUAAGUUUUGGUUGCUGUUUCCAGAAUUAUCUGUAAGCAAUCCAUUCGAACUUUGUGUCAUUAUAUAUUUUUUGAAUUGGUGGAGCUGAUGCAAAAGUCGCACCUCUAGACUCCAGCCAGCUAAUCACACCCAUGGAGCUACCAAGAGGCUUCCGAGCCCUGUUGUGCAGUUUGUGUGCGCAAAUUGACUUGUGAAAUUGUUUAUGAGUUUUAACGGUGAAUUCUCAAUGAUGUGAUUCCAAUAAUUUUUGUCGAAAUUCUACUUCUCGGAUCCCAGCAUACCGGAGGAGGAAGUGCUACAUGUGGAAUGGAAAUUCAAAGAUUCUAACAAUGAGGUUGACGAAGACAGUUUUCACUUUGAUAAGUCAACAUUGGAGCGCACAUCGCUGGGGUUCAAUUUAGUGUCAGCCCAAGCCAACUCAUCUAUGUCCGAUACAACUCAUAUAUGUCCGAUACAAACGAGCCAUAUUAUCCUUCUUCUGAGGAGCAACAAAUUGAUUAUUCUUUUGGUGAAGAAAAGAAUUUUAGAUUACCCGAAUUUUGUGUGGAGAUGGAAAAGUACGAUCCAAAGUUAGAAGUAGGCAAAAGAUUUCGGGACAUAGCCAAAUUCAAGAAAAUAGUUAAGCACUAUGGGGCCAUGAACAGGACUAACAUAAAAUUCAAGGUGAACAAUACUCAUAGAGCAUAGGGUGUGUGUAUAGAGGAUUGUACUUGGAGAAUUUGGGCUUCUUAGAACAAAAAGGACCGUGUACAUAUUAAGUCUUGCAAUCCAAAUCAUAAAUGCAGCAGCGACAAUACUAAUAGGCUCUACACAUAUGCUUAUCUAGUGGAAAGGUAUUUGGAGAUAUUUAAGGUUGAUCAUUGUUGGAGAACAAAACUUUUUAUCAAAAGGGUUAAGGAUGAUUUAAAACUAGAAACUA